UGGGUGGGCAAGAGAGGUCUCGGGUUUGAGAAGAAGGAAAAGAAUUGUGGGGUCUGGAGAUUGGAAGAGGAAGAAGAGGUGGCUGUGAUUGUUUUUGAAUCUGUUGAUGUGGAUGCGGUACUGAGAAUGAAAAAGAAGAAGGAGGGUAGGAGAAGGAGAGAGAAUGAGGAGGAGCAAACAAGAUACCACCACCUCCACGGAUGUUGUUGUUUGUGGGAACCAAGUUUUCAGUGGAUCUUGAAACGUG
rnacentral:misc_RNA from 1 species